AUUGAACGCUGGCGGCAUGCUUUACACAUGCAAGUCGAACGGCAGCGCGGGGCAACCUGGCGGCGAGUGGCGAACGGGUGAGUAAUACAUCGGAACGUACCCAGAAGUGGGGGAUAACGUAGCGAAAGUUACGCUAAUACCGCAUACGUUCUACGGAAGAAAGUGGGGGAUCUUCGGACCUCAUGCUUUUGGAGCGGCCGAUGUCUGAUUAGCUAGUUGGUGAGGUAAAGGCUCACCAAGGCGACGAUCAGUAGCUGGUCUGAGAGGACGACCAGCCACACUGGGACUGAGACACGGCCCAGACUCCUACGGGAGGCAGCAGUGGGGAAUUUUGGACGAUGGGCGCAAGCCUGAUCCAGCAAUGCCGCGUGAGUGAAGAAGGCCUUCGGGUUGUAAAGCUCUUUUGUCAGGGAAGAAACGGUUGGGGCUAAUAUCUCCGGCUAAUGACGGUACCUGAAGAAUAAGCACCGGCUAACUACGUGCCAGCCGCCGCCGCUG
rnacentral:rRNA from 1 species